UUGCACGCUGGCGGCAGGCUUAACACAUGCAAGUCGAACGGUAGCAGGAGAAAGCUUGCUUUCUUGCUGACGCGUGGCGGACGGGUGAGUAAUGCUUGGGAAUCUGGCUUAUGGAGGGGGAUAACUACGGGAAACUGUAGCUAAUACCGCGUAGAAUCGGAAGAUGAAAGUGCGGGACCGCAAGGCCGCAUACCAUGAGAUGAGCCCAAGUGGGAUUAGGUAGUUGGUGGGGUAAGGGCCUACCAAGCCUGCGAUCUCUAGCUGGUCUGAGAGGAUGGCCAGCCAUACUGGAACUGAGACACGGUCCAGACUCCUACGGGAGGCAGCAGUGGGGAAUAUUGCGCAAUGGGGGGAACCCUGACGCAGCCAUGCCGCGUGAAUGAAGAAGGCCUUCGGGUUGUAAAGUUCUUUCGGUAUUGAGGAAGGUUGAUGUGUUAAUAGUACAUCAAAUUGACGUUAAAUACAGAAGAAGCACCGGCUAACUCCGUG
rnacentral:rRNA from 1 species